AUUGAACGCUGGCGGCAGGCUUAACACAUGCAAGUCGAGCGGGGUGAUGGUGCUUGCACUAUCACUUAGCGGCGGACGGGUGAGUAAUGCUUAGGAAUCUGCCUAUUAGUGGGGGACAACAUCUCGAAAGGGAUGCUAAUACCGCAUACGUCCUACGGGAGAAAGCAGGGGAUCACUUGUGACCUUGCGCUAAUAGAUGAGCCUAAGUCGGAUUAGCUAGUUGGUGGGGCAAAGGCCUACCAAGGCGACGAUCUGUAGCGGGUCUGAGAGGAUGAUCCGCCAAACUGGGACUGGAACACGGCCCAGACUCCUACGGGAGGCAGCAGUGGGGAAUAUUGGACAAUGGGGGGAACCCUGAUCCAGCCAUGCCGCGUGUGUGAAGAAGGCCUUAUGGUUGUAAAGCACUUUAAGCGAGGAGGAGGCUCUUUUGGUUAAUACCCAAGAUGAGUGGACGUUACUCGCAGAAUAAGCACCGGCUAACUCUGUGCCAGCAGCCGCAGUAA
rnacentral:rRNA from 1 species